GAUGAACGCUGGCGGCGUGCCUAAUACAUGCAAGUCGAGCGAACAGACGAGGAUCUUGCUUCUCUGACGUUAGCGGCGGACGGGUGAGUAACACGUGGAUAACCUACCUAUAAGACUGGGAUAACUUCGGGAAACCGGAGCUAAUACCGGAUAAUAUAUUGAACCGCAGGGUUCAAUAGUGAAAGACGGAUUUGCUGUCACUUAUAGGUGGAUCCGCGCCGCAUUAGCUAGUUGGUAAGGUAACGGCUUACCAAGGCAACGAUGCGUAGCCGACCUGAGAGGGUGAUCAGCCACACUGGAACUGAGACACGGUCCAGACUCCUACGGGAGGCAGCAGUAGGGAAUCUUCCGCAAUGGGCGAAAGCCUGACGGAGCAACGCCGCGUGUGUGAUGAAGGUCUUCGGAUCGUAAAACUCUGUUAGUAGGGAAGAACAAAUGUGUAAGUAACUCUGCACGUCUUGACGGUACCUAAUCAGAAAGCCACGGCUAACUACGUG
rnacentral:rRNA from 1 species